rnacentral:lncRNA from 1 species
AUGGGUCUUUACAACUCCAAAUCCUCCUGUGCUCUAGAAAUAAAGAAUAGUGUUCACUGGUUUUUUAAUGCUAGAGGUUUUACCAUUGGAGAGUACGAGCUGCAGAGAAAGUGGGGAAGAGGGAGGAAAGCGUCAGGUCUCAGCUGGCAGGUGCCGGAUGAGCAGGCGGUGCAGGAGCGAGCUCCGGCAGGGCCCCAGUCCCGCACCGGAGCAGGAGCACCGGCCUCGGCCCAGGGGCCGUCCCGGAGCGGCUGCUCCCGGCCCCGGCGCUGCAGCCCGGCUCGUUCGGCGGCACGGGAGAGCGGGAUGCGGGCGCUGCGGUUCGCAGGGCGCGGCGGCCUGGGGCAGCCGGGGCGGAGCGGGCUCGGCCUCCCCCGGGGGCUGCGGCGGGGCCGGGGCUGCGCUGCGCUCCGUGUCCGCCAGAGGGCGCCCCAAGGGGCGGUGGCGGCCCGGGGUCGGUACCGACGGAUCCGGUGUCCCGUUCGCUUCCAGCCGCGAUCCAGAGUCUGCUCCGGGGCAGCGCCACCCUCCCGGUGGGCCCGGCACCUCCACAGCCCCCGCUCCCCGCGGCAGCAGCGGUACCGUGCCCGGAGCCCCGGCGGGACCGCAGCCCCGCGCCGGCCGCAUCUGGAGCGGCAGCGGCAGCGUCCGGCUCGGCCUCAGCGCCCGUCCCGGAGCGGCUCCUCCCGGCCCCUGGCCGAGCCCAAAUCCCACCACGCUCCUCCGGCCCCGGGAGCUACACCCCACCUGGUACCCGCUGCAGACACGGGCAGGACCGGGACCCGAAUCCCCGGGUCCCGAUCCCGGUCCCAGCCUUACCUGAGCGCCUCGGGCUCAGCGCCGCGCUGGGAGCAGCCUCCGGUCCGGGGCUCCGCGCAGCGCUCCGAGCGCCGCUCCCGCCGCAUCCCGGAGCAGCACCCUCGGCAGAAAGCGGAACGGGAGCGGCCCCCGCUGUAUUUAGGGCCGCGGGCGGGGCGGGGCGGGACCGGCACAGGUGCGGCGGGGCGGGGCCGGGGGCAUUUAAACCGCGGGGAGUGCCCGGCGGAGCCAUUUGCUCCUCGGCGCUCGGAGCAGGAGGUUACGGCCGGGCCGCGCUCUGUAUCUCUCUUUAUACUUCUUCUAUACUUUUUUUCUUCUGUACCUCUUUUCUUU